UUUGUUUGUUUGUUUUUUCUUGUCGCCGCUCAAGCUCGUCACGUACAGCAUAUUUAACGUGAAAUCAGAGUGCACACCCCGAUCAGUGGCCCCUCUCAGUGCCCGUCAGAAUGAACCCAGUGAAGACGGAAGAGAAAUGUCAGCCACAUACACCUGCGCCUGGCAUUCAUACACCUGUUUACCAGCAAUCCAGCUGCAACCAGUGUUUUGGGUUUUUUCAAAGAGCGCCCAUCCGGUUUCUGCCUGAGGGGACCCAGACCCUGCCGUCUAUGGCCAUGAACACAACACAAACACCACCGCCUCCACCAAGCACCUUUCAGUACUAUAGGGAGACGAUGAAUUGCAUGCAGCACUAUUGUAUGCCCCAAUUUCCAGGACAUCUCGACCAGUUCCUGCAUGAAGAGACACAGAACCUGUACACCAGCAAACCAAUACCACGGCCUCCACCAAACAGCCCUGUGGACAACAGGGAGACGCUGGAUGGCCCACAGACAAAUGGG